rfam:Ixodes scapularis strain Wikel colony gcontig_1108379273070, whole genome shotgun sequence.
GCAGUCGUAGCCGAGUGGUUAAGGCAAUGUACUAGAAAUCCAUUGGGGUCUCUCCGCACAGAGUCGAAUCCUGUCGACUGCG